CUUAAAUCUAAAAUAGGCCCUUGAGGCAUUGUACCAAGGAUGCUGGCGACAUUUCCUCGCUGUAUCGCAAUGCUGAUACGUUGUGCGAGGUAGCCGCCAGCUCAUCGGUCACCAGUUACGUCAACCAGACGCUUCGCGAUUUCUGCGAACAACUUAUGCGCGCUGGGACCCCAUGGACCUAGAGUUUCAACUCCAAAUGACGGAACCCUUAUGGAUUCGUCAUGUCUGUCUGUCUGUCCGUCCGUAUGUCACAGCCACUUUUUUUCGAAACUAUAAGAACUAUACUGUUGAAACUUGGUAAGUUGAUGUAUUCUGUGAACCGCAUUAAGAUUUUCACACAAAAAUAGAAAAAAAAAAAACAAUAAAUUUUGGGGGU